UACAGAGGUGGCAAGCGUUGUUCGGAAUUACUGGGCGUAAAGGGCGCGUAGGUGGCCUUUUGAGUCAGACGUGAAAUCCCCCGGCUUAACCUGGGAACUGCGUCUGAUACUGGAAGGCUUGAGUUCGGGAGAGGGAUGUGGAAUUCCAGGUGUAGCGGUGAAAUGCGUAGAUAUCGUGAGGAAGACCAGUGGCGAAGGCGGGUCUCCGGACAGUUCCUGACACUGAGGCACGAAGGCCAGGGGAGCAAACGGG
rnacentral:rRNA from 1 species